CUCCCAGGUGUCACAAACAACAAUAGACAUUGGCUGUUCAACCGACUUCUGCAUCAUGCUGUAAGUAAUUUUUUAUUUUUUUUUCCUAUCCUGUUCUCCACAAUUUUAAAAGUAAAUUUGUUUUUGCUUUUUCUAAACAAUUUAAAUCCAUCAUUCAUAAAAUGUUUACAGUUUAUUCUAGUUCAUUCAUUGUAUUCUAUCUUUUACAGUAGUGUAUUUAACAGUAAGUUUACAUGUGUGAUUAUUUGAUUUAAAAAGCAUCAAAUCCACAUAUUAAUAAUUACUUGAUCAUCUAUUGUUGAUGUUUUACAGGUCCUCAGAAGGACCAUUCGUCAAAUUAAACAAUUCAGACGUGGUUUAAAAGACACAAAAGUUUGGUCACUGCUGCUAGAACGUCCAGAUGUUGUCCCUUUGCUCUUCCCCAGAAACUCAGAAGCUGCCUGCUGUGCUCAGACUGUUCUGGAUAAUAUCAUAUGGCCUGCUGAGGAAGAAGAUGAUGAUGAUGAUGAUGAUACAUACCCACUUCACAUCAAAUGUCGCAUUGCAGAGUACCUCCCUUGUUUUAUUGAGAGUGCAUGUGUAGGCAAACUUCAGCAACUUGUGAAGUUCUGGGUUGGAUGGGAGCUUCCUUCAGCUGGCAUGAAGGUUAAAGUGAUCUGUGCUGAUCAUCCAAGAUCAUCAACAUGCUUUCAAAUCCUACGACUGCCUGGCCACUACAGUACAUUUCAGGAGUUUACUAUGGAUCUGGAAGCCUGUAUUGCAACAUGUGAUACUGGAUUUGGUUUGAUCUAAAGGGGACAAUCUGUGCCACUUAUGAAUUAGUGUAAGGUUCCUAGUUUGUAAAACAUUCAUAAUGUGCUAGAUUGCAGAGUUCAAAUUUUGUUCUACAAACAACCCCACCUGAUAAGACUGUUCCACAACAAUCAUUAAUGUUAAAUGGCCUAAUAUGUUUAAAAAUACAUUCAUUUUCAUGUCAGUGUUAUUAUUGUGAUUCACAUCACAUAAAUGGGCCAGUUCAUCAAUUUGCUAAUCUUUAUCAUAAAUGUUACUCAGGAAGAAAUUGUUCGAAGACAGAUCUACAAAGAUCCUCACCUGUUUAUGCUGUUCUGGCUCAAUCAUUUAGUAGGCAGUAGCAGAACUGUGAAUAGCAUAUAACAUACAACACCUCAUUUUCUGGAAGACUCAAGACCUGAUGUCCUCCCAGCUCCCACAGCUGAUUUGGAGUCAGAUUUCCCUCUGUACUUAGAGGGUGAUUGUCCCAUCCAUCGUGAAAGGUGUCCAGAUGAGCUUGCAGUCGUGGAAUGAACACGUAGUGACAACAGAAGAGAUGCAUACGAUUUGACAUAUCCAGCUGCCCUUCUUCCUCCAACUGAUGAAGCACAUUGUAGUAGAUGUUUGUGACUGCAACCCAGAUAUCUCUCCAGAGCCUCUCUAUUCUGGUAAUGUAUUAAAUGUUUAGUGACUGCAACCCAGAUAUCUCUCCAGAGACCUCCUCUAUUCUGGUAAUGUAUUAAAUGUUUAGUUACAAAUGCAAUGCACUGAAUAAUUUAGUUAAAUGCAGUGGUUCUCAAACUUUUUGUUUGUAAGGCAGGGAUGAAGACUUAUAAUCUGAAAAAAAAAAAAAAAAAAUUUAAAUUAAAACCAAAAACAUGUUGAAUUAUACAAUGCUUUAACAUCAGUUAUUUUGGUUGGUGUCCUCAUUUUUCUGAUGUUUGAUAGCACAAAAUUUGAUAAAUUUCUAUAUUUCAUAAAAUGCCACAAAAACCGUGGCCCCCCUGGAUCCAUCCAGCUGUCUUCAGCCAUCCUGGUGAACUUUUACCGGUGUGCAAUCGAGAGCAUCCUGACCAGUUUUAUCACAGUCUGGUAUGGAAACUGCUCAGUUGCUGACUGCAAAGGGGGGUGAAAACCGUCCAACGCAUCACAGGGACACCACUUCCUGCUAUUGAGGACAUCCAGAGAAAACGCUGUCUAUGUCAAGCUUGCAGCAUUCUUAAGGACUCCUCUCACCCUGACCAUAGACUGUUUAACCUCCUGCCCUCCGGGAGGCGCUUCAGGAGCCUCCGGACAAGGACCAGCAGACUCAGGAAUAGCUUUUUCCCUACAGCUCUCUCCUAGUAAAGGGUGUUGAAGUAAAGGGUGGUUGAAGCCAGAUUAUUGGUUGCAACAUCUAGGUACAUGAUCUGUGUAACAUUCGAAAAAUAGGCAGUUUUAGUCUAGAGUGUGUGAUUCUGAUAUCAAUACAAUAUGAAAUGGGAAACUCUGCAUGGGUAAACCCAGCUAAAGUCUUUUUUUGUGAUUCAAUAUAUUCUACAUACAAUUAUUCUGAGUACAU
rnacentral:lncRNA from 1 species